UUGCUUGGUACACUGUCAUAACAAUUUAUCCAGGCUUCUGCUAUCAUAUACCUAGCUUAGUAAUAUGAUUCUCUCCUCAUGCAUUUAAUUAUAUUCCCUUUGUUCCUCCAAAGAUGCUAAAAUAAGCAGCAGGUAGAUGGGGGCUUGCUUAGGUCAUUUUCUCUUCUACGUAGAUUGUAAGCCAUUUUCUGUCUUUGCAGUGGAAAGGUGCUAGAAUAGGUAUAGUUGGUAUAAGAAUGUUGACUUCAGGAAAGUGAGGUAAUUGUGAAUACACAUUGAAGAUAUGCCUAAAGGUUGUCUUUUAACAUGGAAAUUGAUAUGAAAUCUUUCUGCUUGUUUUUUUGUUUCUUUCUAUAAAAUACUAAAAAUAAAAUGACAAGUCUGACUGAAGUAUCCAUAGGAUGAUACAAGUGCUCAGAGGAGACAGUUGAGUGCAUAUAAGUAUAUAUAAAAGAACUUUCACAACAUUAUUCAUACCAGAGGAAGAAACAGGCAUGUUAGCAGAAACAUAAGGAGUUCCAGAAAAUUCAAGGUUACUAUUAGUUUUACAGGAACCCAACCAUUUGAAAGUGUAAAAUUGCUGCUAAGGUGCAAUGUUAGCUGUGUGCAUGAAACUUCUCACAUACUACUUCCUGACUUUGAAAUACCUGCAGAAUUUCACUGACUCCUUUUCUGGUUAUUCAUAGAAGUGUGUGUGUCUAUGGUUGUUUUUGUUUUUGUUUUUCUAAGCAAGAGUAAAGAUGAAAAGUGAAGCACUUACAGGUAAUUAAAUGAAAAAGCCUGCCAAUCUUAAUUCAGACUCUUGAUGUGAAUUCAUUAAGAUACAGCCUUUAAUCACAGAAUCACAAACCCUGUUCUAUUACCCAGCUUCAUUAAGUGCAUGAAACAAAUGACAGCCACUUAAUGAGGGGUUGCUCAACCAUUUGUUUUAUACUGGGCAAUAUAAGUCAAUCUGAAUAUGGGUGAUGCAACCAGCCUUUCCUAAUGAGGAAUGGUAGAGCACAGCUGGUUAGUUAUCACAGAGGCAUGAGGGGCAGCAGAAAAUUAUGAAGGAAAGAGCAAAACUGCUAUUUUUUCAGACAAGAUUUUAUUUGACAUUUCUAAAGCCAGAUAGAGCUGCUAAGGUCAAGUUGGAUCAUUUGCAAAAGAUUAGAUGAUUUAAAAGCUGCAUAGUGGGGAGCCUGACAGGGAAGUCUCAUAGGAGAUGGUUUCAUUGAAUCCAUUUCUCUUUGCAUUGCAAUAAAAUAGGAGCGCACAUCAAAGGUAGUUAAAUCUCUUGUGUUGGAGGGAGAAUCAACGUGCUCUAACGCAGCUUCUUGUUAUUUGCCUGUAACAUAGUUACAGGGUGGUGGAGAUCAGGCUGUGUGGUCUUCUGUAGGAUAAUACAAUGCACCAGGUAGAUAUUCACCUCUGAGACAAUGUGUCAGCUGACAUCAUGGGAAGUAGGUGGUAGAGAAGGAGGUAUGAGAGUAGAAUAUGGCUGGUGCUCCAGUUCCAAGUUAUGUGUGCUUCAGGCUAUUUUUUCUCAAUAAUAUCCUUCUUAAUGAUUUCUCUUCAAUUUGAAAUGUGUUGGGGUAGUGUUGUUAUCUCCAGAGCAUGACAUGGUUACAAGAUCCUUUCAAUUCUACCUAAUUUUUUAAGUGUGCAUUAAAUAGAAAUUGCCCGCCUUCCCUCUUGUCUUUGCUGACAGAUUACAGACAAAGGCCUGGAUAAGCUGAUGCUGUAGCUCCCUUUGAUAGCUACUGGACUCUAUUGUGUUGACCUGUGGAACAGACUGGCUAGCCCAGAAAUGAUCACAGCUUGAGCUAAAAUCAACAAUCCCAUAUUGCUUGUUCAAAUACAUUUAACUGCAACAUAUAUAUAUAUACAUAUAUAUUUUGUGUUGAAACAAAUGUCUACAUUUUAACAUUAUGUGGCAGAACAGGGUGUAUAUGCCAUGCGCAGUUUAGAGGCCUAAUAGUUUGCAGUGCAUCAUAGAGAGAGGUCUGUGCCUCUAUGGAGCUGUUCAGAGUGCCAGGGUUCGUCAACAGCUAGCUUAGUAACUGUGGUGCUCUCAAAUGCUUUCUGCAGACAUCUGCCUCUCUGAUUAUAUUGUGAUCGUAGACUCCUAGUUUUAGGCCUUAAGUUAGGUGCCUAGAGACAGCAGUGAGAAAUCACCAUAUCCUGCUUGUAACAGUAAAGAUAGAAACAUGUUUUUUUCAUGAAAGAUUAACUUAUGUACAAAUCAUUUCAGGCUUUUGUAUUUUUUACUACAAUAUGCUAUAUCAUUACAAAUGUUGAACUAGAUUUCUAAAUUGAGAGUUGAUGGAGUUUUUUUUUCUUACCUUUAAUUUAUUAUGCCUCAUUAUAGAUGAAUCUUUAAAGGAGAAAUUAUUUUCCCUUAAAAAUAAAUAUCAGAAUUUGUAUUGUAUGAUUCUGAGCAAUAAAAAAUCAUACUGCAGUAAUGAGAAUAAAAUUAUUCUAGUAGUAUAGCUGGCAAAAGAAUAAAUUGGAAUAAACAUCCUAACACACAAUAACAUAAUUCAAAUAAUACAAACAGUGAUUAUUGCUGACUGCAAUUAUUUAUGACAAUAGCGAGUUGUGGGCUUUACAUAUUAUAGAAAAAGUAAUGCAAGAAUGAAAAUAAAAGAGAAGCUUUCAGAGUUAAUGUAGACGUGCCACUAGACGCUUUUAUCUGCUAUUGCUUUUUAUUUUCACUUUCAAUAUAUGAAAUAAUUGAAGUAAUUCAGCAGCGUAGAUGAAGGCUGAAGCCAUACAUACAUAAUCAAAGAAGUCUGAAAGAAUGUUCUUACCCUAGCUCCAACUGUUUUUUGCUGUUGAUACCAGUGGAAUAUGCAGUAUGGGUAGCUACCUGAAUAGAGAAAAAGAAGUUUGCUGGGAAGCUGAAAGAUGCCAGACUUGGAAGUUUCUCUGCUAAAUUUGAGCUGAUUGUUCUCUUUGAUCUCUCUGUACUUGGAUUCUGGGAUGGGAAAUUUCCAGCACAGUACACUCUGAAAUAGGAAAUAAAUUGAAGGCUCAAGAGAUUGAACCAAACCCUGAAGGAAAGGAAGGAGGUGUUGGCAACUGCAUUGUGAAAAAACCGUAAGCCAUCAUCAAGAUGAGAUUUGUACAAGACUUAGUUCUGAUUUGUGAUGUCAAAUGCAAGAUCCAUCGUUGACUGGGAAGAGAUCUCUGUGCUACACAAAAAUGGAAACCUAACCAGGGAACUUGAGAAUUAUGUACUACUUCUCCACCCCUCUACUCCAUUUGACAUACUUGAUGCCAGGCGAAGGGCAUGGUAAA